UCUCUCGUGGCGCAAUCGGCUAGCCCGUUCGACUGUUAUCCAGCAUUCGGUGCAAUGGAGAGGUUGGUGGUUCGGGUGCACUCGAGAGAG